UCUCUCUGUGCUCCCUGCCUUGCUUGUACCACCAUUACCUUCUGCUCCUGGUUUCUCUUUGUUACACCAUGUGGCCAUCACCCACGAGGCGGACCAAGCCAUCACAGUCAGCACCAUCUAUGGCCAUUUUCUUACUCUAAGAAAAUUACCAGAGCAGCAAUCUCAGCAAGAUAUAGGCUCUUGAACAUGAAAAGGAGAGAAAAAGACUGAAGACUACCUCUAAUGUUCAACUCCAGUAUGAUGAGAAACACUUAAAGAAAAUCAGAGGAGAGACAGCAGUCUACAGAGACUUGGGACACAGCUAUCUCCCCAAGGACUCUGAACUUCAAAAAGUGAAAUUUCAUGUGGCAAUUAAAGUAUAUUUUGGAGUAAUUUUAAGAGAGAUGCCAAAAGGCAAGUUUAAAUAAAGAUACUGCAUACUUACUGGCUUAAUAAUAUGCAACCCAGUCAGAAGUAGGACUAUUUGAGUGAUCAAUUGUCCAGGAGACACCUAUCCAGGAGUCUCAUCCUGCUGAACUUUAAAAGCAUAACUAAUUCUGGUUUUGUUUCUGGUCA